rnacentral:lncRNA from 1 species
UAGGAUGCAAGGAUUUCAGACAAGUAUCUGGAGCUACAGGUAAAAGUUAGUUCCUAGUUUCUCUCUCUCUAAUUUUCUCUCUUGAGUCAAAGUCUGCUUCCAUUGCAGGAUCAGUGACCAAGAUUGGACAGGCUUCCAUGAAUCAAAACUUAAUGGUGGUUGCCACCAAGCUCUGUUCACUUCUUUUUUACCUAUAUCCAAGAGUUCUUUGCGAAAGCGAGCCUUGAAGAUUACCGCCUCCAAGUCCCGUUUCGAACUCUUUUAUUGGAGUCUUUAUGAAUCAAGCCUUAAUGGUUUUAGCCACCAAGUCAUGUUCAGACUCAUCCUAAGUAAACAAUAGAUCUUAUUAAAAAAAAAUUUCUUUCUUUUUUUUUUCUUUUUUUUUAAUGGAAAUCACUAACUAUUCUAGGGUCAAAAUUUAGAGAGAGAAAAUGUGAUAAAUAAUCUACACAAGGCGUUACCUUCCAGACCUGUCUGAAGAAUCCGAUCCCAUGUAUAUCAAGCCCCAAGACAAGCGGUUAUGUCAGGUUCAGUGUUGGAAAUCAGCUUUGGUUACUUCAUACGGUCAAGGCAAGUGUAUAGUUGAUAGGUUGAUCUGCUUUAGCAUCUAUAGUGCUAUCUGUAAUUAGUAAAUCUAAAAUGGUGCUAAAGAUUGGUUAGAUAUUCAAGUUCAAAUCAAUAUAAGAUUAUAGUCCAUAUUUUCAAUAGCUAAGCAUAAUUUAUUAAAAUUCCUUUUAUAUAAAAAUAAAAUAAAUUAUAUCAGUAAAUCUCCCCCCAGACUUAAAUUACACUGUCCCAGUGUAACUCAACAGGAGUUAUGAUUGAAUAAUUCAUGAUGUACGAAAUGUAACAAGUAAGAGAGAUACAUCUGACCGGAUUAGAUAUCAAUCGAUGGGCAAAUGUUGCAUCGAUCGUCGUGUGUUUGUCUAUGUCGAGCGAUGUCGACAUCUCGUCGGCGGUCGAUAUUCAGGUCCUCCUACUUGGGUCUCCUACAUCUGAAAGAAAUAAAACGAAAGUAAAUAAAUG